AUUGAUGCGAAGAUGAAAGCAACUGUCGACAAGGAAAUAUUUGAAACUGAUUCAGUUUCUCUUUUCACUUUUUAUUUUCUGAUUUUUUUCUGUGUAAAACGAAUUCAAACGAUGUCACGCGGG
ensembl:ncRNA F18C5.13 ncRNA